rnacentral:rRNA from 1 species
GACGAACGCUGGCGGCGUGCUUAACACAUGCAAGUCGAACGCUGAAGCUCAGCUUUUGUUGGGUGGAUGAGUGGCGAACGGGUGAGUAACACGUGAGUAACCUGCCUCCUUCUUUGGGAUAACGCCCGGAAACGGGUGCUAAUACUGGAUAUUCACUGGUCUUCGCAUGGGGGUUGGUGGAAAGGGUUUUUCUGGUGGGGGAUGGGCUCGCGGCCUAUCAGCUUGUUGGUGGGGUGAUGGCCUACCAAGGCUUUGACGGGUAGCCGGCCUGAGAGGGUGACCGGUAACAUUGGGACUGAGAUACGGCCCAGACUCCUACGGGGGGCAGCAGUGGGGAAUAUUGCACAAUGGGCGCAGGCCUGAUGCCGCGACGCCGCGUGAGGGAUGGAGGCCUUCGGGUUGUGAACCUCUUUCGCUCAUGGUCAAGCCGCAACAAUGGUUGUGGUGAGGGUAGUGGGUAAAGAAGCGCCGGCUAACUACGUG